rnacentral:rRNA from 1 species
ACGGGAGGCAGCAGUGGGGAAUAUUGCACAAUGGGGGAAACCCUGAUGCAGCGACGCCGCGUGAGUGAAGAAGUAUUUCGGUAUGUAAAGCUCUAUCAGCAGGGACGAAAAUGACGGUACCUGACUAAGAAGCCCCGGCUAACUACGUGCCAGCAGCCGCGGUAAUACGUAGGGGGCAAGCGUCAUCCGGAUUUACUGGGUUUAAAGGGAGCGCAGGCGGAGAUGUAAGCCAGCCGGUAAAUCGUGGGGCUCAACCCCAUCUUGCGGUUGGAACUGCAUCCCUUGAGUGCACGAGAGGAUGGUGGAAUUCGUGGUGUAGCGGUGAAAUGCAUAGAUAUCACGAAGAACUCCGAUUGCGAAGGCAGCCAUCUGGCGUGUUACUGACGCUCAUGCUCGAAGGUGCGGGUAUCAAACAGGAUUAGAUACCCUGGUA